rnacentral:rRNA from 1 species
GACGAACGCUGGCGGCAGGCUUAACACAUGCAAGUCGAACGCCCCGCAAGGGGAGUGGCAGACGGGUGAGUAACACGUGGGAACGUACCCUUUGGUUCGGAAUAACUUGGGGAAACUCAAGCUAAUACCGGAUAAGCCCUUAUGGGGAAAGGUUUACUGCCGAAGGAUCGGCCCGCGUCUGAUUAGCUAGUUGGUGAGGUAACGGCUCACCAAGGCGACGAUCAGUAGCUGGUCUGAGAGGAUGAUCAGCCACACUGGGACUGAGACACGGCCCAGACUCCUACGGGAGGCAGCAGUGGGUAAUAUUGGACAAUGGGAGCAACCCUGAUCCAGCCAUGCAGCGUGAGUGAUGAAGGCCUUAGGGUUGUAAAGCUCUUUUACCCGGGAUGAUAAUGACAGUACCGGGAGAAUAAGCCCCGGCUAACUCCGUGCCAGCAGCCGCCGCCG